rnacentral:rRNA from 1 species
CACGUAGUUAGCCGGGGCUUCUUCUGCAGGUACCGUCACCUUGCGGCCUCGUCCCUGCUGAAAGCGGUUUACAACCCGAAGGCCGUCAUCCCGCACGCGGCGUCGCUGCGUCAGGCUUUCGCCCAUUGCGCAAGAUUCCCCACUGCUGCCUCCCGUAGGAGUCUGGGCCGUGUCUCAGUCCCAAUCUGGCCGGUCGGUCUCUCAACCCGGCUACCCAUAGAAGCCUUGGUGGGCCGUUACCCCGCCAACUAGCUAACAGGCCGCGGGCCCAUCCCUCUCCGCCAGAGCUUUCCCAACGCUUCCAUGCGAAAGCGUCGGAGUAUCCGGUAUUAUCCCCGGUUUCCCGAGGCUAUCCCGAUGAGAGGGGCAGGUUGCCCACGUGUUACUCAGCCGUUCGCCACUAUCCACACCUCCGAAGAGGUGCUUCUCGUUCGACUUGCAUGUGUUAGGCGCGCCGCCAGCGUUCAUCCUGAGCCAGGAUCAAACUC